CUACAGUGGGAAGGAUAGAUUGAGAAAAAACUGCACCUUCCCUGAAUGUCUUAGGGUAAAACCAUGUUAGGUAGCUAAAAAAAAUUUUUUUUAGACCUUUAAAAUUGAGGUCACAGCUUUCUUUCUUAACCUCUUGUGUACUGAAGUAAUGUAUAGCUGACCUCUGUGAUCCCGGUAUAGUUUAGGGUAAUCAGAAGAGAAUAGAAAUUAAG